rnacentral:lncRNA from 1 species
UUCUUUUAUGCAACCUUAGAAGUAGAAAUAAUGAAUCUUUGGAAUUUGUAGUUAUAAUCUCUUUUCUGUUGAAUUGAACUGAAUUUAUUCACCAAAUUGGUGUUCAAUUUUUUAUAUGUUUUGUAUAUCUAUAAGUCAUUUUGGUUUUUCAGAGGAUGAAACAACGCGUUUAGGGCGGACUUUGGGGCAUUCACUGCUUACGUAAAGAAUGACUUCGUAUUUGGGAUUGCUAUCGAGUGGAAGUUAUAUAUAUAUAUACUUCAUCUUUUUGUUUAUGAUUUGAGGGAACCAUAAGACCUUUUAUCCAUAGAGAGAGAUCCAUGUGAUGUACGUUGUAUAGUGGUUUUAGAAAAAAUGUGUUAUUGAAUGGAAUGUAAGUUUGGGCUUGAUAUGUUAAAACAAUUGUUUAACUAAUGAUGCACAAUAAUUCGUAUAUAAAAUGUUUUAUGAAUUAGUAUUGUAUUUUUGAUUACAUGCUAUAUUUCUCAUCUUUUACUUGAUCUUAUUGGUAAUGUUAGAACUGUAGUAGACUUUUGUUCAACUCAAACAAUGUUGAGUUUCUUGUGUUUUCUACAUAGAAACUCUCUGGCAUACUUGCUCUUCCCUUCUUGGAGUGCUUUUUUGUAUAUGCUGGUUCAGCGUGUUUAGUUUCUCUACCAAAUCUCUUGUUUUUCUCUUUCACAUGUCAUGUUGUAAUUUUGUUGUAGGAAACACCUACACCUAAAAGAAGAAGAAUUCCUAUAUAUCAAGGUUUGAGCAAUUCACGUCGGUCAAAUAUGACUACCAAAAGGCAUGGACACCAGGUUUGUUUUUCAAUAUGGUUGUCCAUUGGAGAAUUAAGGGUUCUGGGUUGGCAGCUUGAAAUGGCGACUUAAACAUGACUUGUUUUGUGUAUUAAAAGGUUUCAAUUCUAAUUUCAAAUUAGUAAUAAUUAGGGGUGCAAACAAGCCGAGCCGAUCUCAACAGAAGCAAGUUGGUAUCAUGUUGAUGUUCUGCUUGCUGAUUCAGGAUAUGAUCUUGUAUGACCUUCAUGCUCAAGUGUGUUCUUUUGCCAUUGGUUUAUAGUUGACCAACCAUAGAAAUAAUGACAAGUGAAGUCGUAAGUGCUUUUGUUUUUAUGUAUAUUGGGGUUGAUUUCGAAUAACAAUAGAGAAUCUUGCAAUACAUGAUGCUUUGUUAUGUUGUCAUUAUACCUAUAAGUAUUGUUUGUUAUCUUCAGUUACUCUCUUGGAAGUUGAUGACAUAGAACAUGAAGCAAGAAGCAAUACAAAUCGGUAUGUUGUGGAAUUGUUCCACUUUGAACGUUAAGUGCUUGUUUUUUUUUUUUUACUUAAAUUAGGAUUUUCGGGCAUUGAACUGAGCCGAUUUUCAGGUAUCGGGUAUGGUUUUUUGUAUUGAAAUGCCUACCUUAUGGGUAGAGUCGGUUCUAUGCUCGGUUAUGAAAAAGCUUGGUUUGGGGUAUUCCUACCGGGUAUGGGUCAGUUUUGAUUUUUUUUUUUUUUUUUGCACCUCUUAACCGAUACUAGUACUGAUGUUAUUUGGUUAGUGUUGGUUUGACCCGUUACGGUACUGGUACUUAAAAUUUAUAUUCUAUCUCUAGGUUUUACAUGAAUGUAGAAAAAAGGCUUCGAUUACAGAUUUAGUAAUUCAUCAUAGCCUUCAUAGAAUGACACACACCCAAAGGUACGAAGCCCAAAGUUUAAAGCGCGCACGAAGUUCGUUAAUUACAAUCCUCAAUUCACCUUGCAUAGUAUAUCUCAUGAAUUUGGUUACAGUGGGCCUCAAUUGCUUAUGACAUCACCAUUGAUGCAGGUUUUGUGGCAUGCCCUUGCAUUGUAGCGGCAAGACCGACAAGAGUACAAGAUUGUCGAUUUUGCUUGUUAGUUUUGUGCUUCAUAUGUAUGAUAUUAACACUUAUUAGAUGUUUGUUAGCAAACGUUUGGAAGUGGAUUAAAAUUUUAAUUGAAGUG